GCUGGGAGUGGUGGCACACACCUGUAAUCCCAGCCACUUGGGAGGCUGAGGCAGGGAGAUCACAAGUUCAAAGCCAGACCCAGAAAUGGAGAGGCACUAAGGAAUUCAGUGAGACCCUGUCUCUA
rnacentral:sRNA from 1 species